UUCAAGUGAACGGGAUUAGACUCCAUCUUUCAAAGAGAAAAAUCACAACUGAUUUGUAGCCAAUUUUAACCAACCUCAGAAAGUAAUGAAUAAAGCAGAAUGGUUUAAGUAAAUGGCCAAUGCCAGAGAGCAGGAAUAAGCACCAGAGUGCAAGGCAGAGAAUGAGUACAGAGGGCUUUGAAGCAGACAUAAUACAGGAUAAAAGUUUAAAUUGAUAAGAGCUCUUUCAACGCUGGAGAAAGGUAUUGACCUUCUCGCAGUAAAGGUAUUCACGAUAUGCCCAGGAAAUGUGCUGUUUGAUUACUUUUACAUGGGAGAGAAGACAAAACAUCUCAACCUAGAGUCUCUUAAUGUGGAUGUAGAAGAAGUAAAAUGAGGUUUGGGCCACUAGCAAACGGCAGGGAAUGAAGAGGAAGAGGCUUCUGAAGACCGUUCCUUGCCUAGUCCCACUUGCCCAGAAAGAAGAACCACCUUCACCAUAAGUAACAUCCCUUCCCAGAGAGGUCAUGGUCUAUGGUCACACAGCCAUAAAAAGGCUGCAACAAAGACAUCCAGCUUCUUUGACUGCA